GAGAACUCUUAUCUUGAAAAUUGGAAUGAAGGGGUAACGCCCUGAAACGAUUUCUCUAAUACUCCGACAUGCGUUUAUCUUGUGCAAAGGUAAAGGUUUGAAGCUCGGUGAAGUCGGCUGAAAGAUACCGUCAUUCUUAAGGACUUAAGAAUCGAAAGUGUUCCAGAGGUGGAAUAUGUAUCUGAUAGGUCGGGAGUCAUUAAA
rnacentral:ncRNA from 1 species